rnacentral:rRNA from 1 species
CACGCCCGUCACACCAUGGGAGUUGGUUUCACCCGAAGGCAGUGCGCUAACCGCAAGGAGGCAGCUGACCACGGUGGGAUCAGCGACUGGGUG